GGGUCAGUAGGUUGGUCGUGCCACCGGUACGUACUGGUCUCACUGAUUCCUCCUUCCUGAAGAACCGUAAUGCCAUCAAUUUGGUGUUGCGGGGAAACAGGACUGUUACUUUGAAAAGAUUAGAGUGUUUAAAGCAAGCUAACGCUUGAAUACAUUAGCAUGGAAUAAUGAAAUAGGACGAUCGAUCCUAUUUUGUUGGUUUCUAGGAUUGACGUA
rnacentral:rRNA from 1 species